UACGUAGGGUGCAAGCGUUGUCCGGAAUUAUUGGGCGUAAAGAGCUCGUAGGCGGUUUGUCGCGUCUGCCGUGAAAGUCCGGGGCUCAACUCCGGAUCUGCGGUGGGUACGGGCAGACUAGAGUGAUGUAGGGGGAGACUGGAAUUCCUGGUGUAGCGGUGGAAUGCGCAGAUAUCAGGAGGAACACCGGUGGCGAAGGCGGGUCUCUGGGCAGUAACUGACGCUGAGGAGCGAAAGCGUGGGGAGCGAACAGG
rnacentral:rRNA from 1 species